AUACAGAGGGUGCAAGCGUUAAUCGGAAUUACUGGGCGUAAAGCGCGCGUAGGCGGUUUGUUAAGUUGGAUGUGAAAGCCCCGGGCUUAACCUGGGAGGGUCAUUCAAAACUGGCAGACUAGAGCGUGGUAGAGGGUAGUGGAAUUCCUAGUGUAGCGGUGAAAUGCGUAGAGAUUAGGAGGAACACCAGUGGCGAAGGCGACUGCCUGGACCAACACUGACGCUGAGGUGCGAAAGCGUGGGUAGCGGACAGGAUUAGAUACCCUAGUAGUCC
rnacentral:rRNA from 1 species